UCAGGACGAACGCUGGCGGCGCGCCUAACACAUGCAAGUCGAACGGAGCUGAGAGGAGCUUGCUUUCUCAGCUUAGUGGCGAACGGGUGAGUAACGCGUGAGUAACCUGCCCUGGAGUGGGGGACAACAGUUGGAAACGACUGCUAAUACCGCAUAAGCCCACGGAUCCGCAUGGAUCUGCGGGAAAAGGAUUUAUUCGCUUCAGGAUGGACUCACGUCCAAUUAGCUAGUUGGUGAGGUAACGGCCCACCAAGGCGACGAUUGGUAGCCGGACUGAGAGGUUGAACGGCCACAUUGGGACUGAGACACGGCCCAGACUCCUACGGGAGGCAGCAGUGGGGGAUAUUGCACAAUGGGGAAACCCUGAUGCAGCGACGCCGCGUGGAGGAAGAAGGUUUUCGGAUUGUAAACUCCUGUCGUUAGGGACGAUAAUGACGGUACCUAACAAGAAAGCACCGGCUAACUACGUG
rnacentral:rRNA from 1 species